GCAAAAGGGUGUGAGGCACUGUGUGGGCCGCACACCAGCCCGUACACGCAUGGUUUUGCCCUUUUUAAACCCGUUUUGAAGCCUUUUCUUGUGCUUUCUUCUCCCUAACCCUCCCCUUCUCUUCUCCUUUCAUCCUUGGCCAUUCUUGGGCUUGUUUGUGGAGCUUAAAGAUUAAUCAAUUGUCUCUUCAAGGAGUUGAAAUUGUGGCUCAAAGUAAAGAGCUAGCCAAGGACUAGCGUUCAAGGAAGAGAAAUCGUCAAAGUUGUGAUAUAUACAGAUAUUUCAUUGCAUGACUUUGAAUGAUAGUUUAUUAGAAGAAUACCAAUAGUGAUAUAUACAGAUAUUUCAUUGCAUAAGUAAAGUUUUAUUGUUUUAUAAUUGAGUUGCAUGACUUUGAAUGAUAGUUUAUUUAUUGUUAAAAACUCUUGAAAAGUCUCCUUUGGUAUUUCAAAACUAUACUUGGAUCAUGAUUAAGUUUAUUCUCUAGGUUUGGAUAGGCAUCAAAUCGACCUUGAAAACUUUAUUAUUUAAUCAUAGCUUUUAAUGUGAAUGUUUGAUACUCUUGUUAUAAUAUCAAAAGUGUUUAUGUAAACUAUUUAUGCAACACAUUUCAUGUUAUUGCUGAUGUUAUGAUUGAAAUGUUUACUCAAGGAUUUCUUAUCCCAAUGAUGCUAGGUUAAUGAAAAGAUGUCAGUUUGGGAUGUUUUGGAUCUAACAUAAAAAUGGUUUUACAUUUCCUUUAAAUGAAGAGUUACAAAUGUUAAAAGUUCUUGAAAUGUUUUCUACAGUAUUUGGAAAUUAUGUUGAAUUGUGAUUUGGUUUAUUUCAAAGAACUUGAUAAAGAACUUUUUGCUUGUGAAAGUAACCAUAUGUUUUGGUUAUUAUGUUUCAAAGAGCAUGUUUUCAUGAAAUUUGAUAUUUUUGUUAUGAUGUUGAAGGAGUUGUGCAAAACUAAGUUGAAAUACAUUUUGAUGAUGCUAUACUUGAAGUGUAUUUUCAAGGAUUAUUCUCGAAUUGAUGUUUUCUUGAUGAAAAGGGUUUCAUCGAAGAUGUUAUGAUCAGCUAGCUCACUCUUUGAGUGAAAGUUAUAUAUGUGAAAUCUUGUGAUCUCUCGAUGAAAAUUAUUCUAUCAUGUUGAUGUACAUGUUGAGCCUACGGGCUGGAUUGUUAUUUAAAUAUUUUGAUGAUGACAUGGGAGCCGAGCUCCAGCACUUACUGCAGUAAGAAGUGGACGGUUUCCACGGGCCGACCUAGUUGAGGUGGCGUGGAAAACUAUCAAACCGGUUUUACCAUUUCAGGUGGGAGCUUAUAGCCCUGACUUGGAUAUAGUUGGGUUGUUCGGAGUCACCACACGGACUUCCCAAUGGCCAAUGCCAAGAUACGUGCAUCUUGGUGGCUCCUAACCUAACCGAGGCCAUGAAAUCAUGGAUGAUUUCAACCUUGGAUUUUGAACUUGUAUUUUGUGAAACUAUCGACAUUUGAUUUUCACAUCUUAAACUUUUGGAUUGUUGAGUUACUGAAAGGGUGUUUAACCUUGAAUUUUGAACUUGUAUGGAAUCAUGGAUGAUUUCAAAAGGUUUUAUUUUUGCAUUCCAUUGAGGAAGUUAAAUUUUCUUA